UACGUAGGGUGCGAGCGUUGUCCGGAAUUAUUGGGCGUAAAGAGCUCGUAGGCGGCCUGUCGCGUCGGUUGUGAAAGCCCGGGGCUUAACCCCGGGUCUGCAGUCGAUACGGGCAGGCUAGAGUUCGGUAGGGGAGAUCGGAAUUCCUGGUGUAGCGGUGAAAUGCGCAGAUAUCAGGAGGAACACCGGUGGCGAAGGCGGAUCUCUGGGCCGAUACUGACGCCGAGGAGCGAAAGCGUGGGGAGCGAACAGG
rnacentral:rRNA from 1 species